UUUUUAUCUUCUAAAAAUGAUUUAUUAAUACAAUAUGGUAUAGUACACCCCAUAGCAUAGUAUGACUGGCAGAAACCAGAGAAGGCAAAAGUAGAGAAAACACUAAACAAUGAUCCCAUUCCCACAUCUGUACGUGACUGAGUAAGCAGUACAUAAUCACAUUAAACCCUUGCUAAAAUCAUGGUCAGCAAAUUGAAUAAAAUAAAACAUACAAAUGGCAGGAAAUGCAGUUUGUCCCAUCUCCAAGAACUCUAUGAUGCCGUCCCAGGUGCCUUCACUCCAACAACUCCGUCCCAGGUGCCUUCACUGCGACAACUCCAUCCCAGGUGCCUUCACUCCAACAACUCCGUCCCAGAUGCCUUCACUGCGACAACUCCAUCCCAGGUGCCUUCACUGCGACAACUCCAUCCCAGGUGCCUUCACUCCAACAACUCCAUCCCAGGUGCCUUCACUGCGACAACUCCGUCCCAGGUGCCUUCACCUUCACUCCGAUAACUCCGUCCCAGGUGCCUUCACUGCGACAACUCCAUCCCAGGUGCCUUCAACUUCACUCCAACAACUCCGUCCCAGGUGCCUUCACCUUCACUCCGAUAACUCCGUCCCAGGUGCCUUCACUGCGACAACUCCGUCCCAGGUGCCUUCACUCCGACAACUCCGUCCCAGGUGCCUUCACUCCGACAACUCCGUCCCAGGUGCCUUCACUCUGACAACUCCGUAACAGGUGCCUUCACUCCGACAACUCCAUCCCAGGUGCCUUCACUCUGACAACUCCAUCCCAGGUGCCUUCACUCCGACCUAGGUGCCUUCACUCUGACAACUCCAUCCCAGGUGCCUUCACUCUGACAACUCCAUCCCAGGUGCCUUCACUCCGACCUAGGUGCCUUCACUCUGACAACUCCAUCCCAGGUGCCUUCACUCCGACCUAGGUGCCUUCACUCUGACAACUCCAUCCCAGGUGCCUUCACUCCGACAACUCCAUCCCAGGUGCCUUCACUGCGACAAC
ensembl:lncRNA